rnacentral:sRNA from 1 species
GUUGUGGUGGCAUGUGCCUGUAGUCCCAGCUACUUAGAGACAGGAGGAUCGCUUGAGCCCAGGAGUUCAAGGCUAGCCUGGGCAACAUAGUGAGAUCCCGU